CUCACUGUGUGUUACCGACACCGGAUAUUGCUACCAUCGAGGCGAGAGGUUCUCCACAUUUAAUCAGGACAGAGAUAUUACGGCUGUUUGCCUGCUUAUAUUGCAAAGAAACAGCGUUCUCCUUUGAAGAUAUCGUCACCCAAAUGUUAAUUCAUAAUACACAAGAAAUAAUCGGAAAAAAAUGUGUUACACACCCUCAAUUUUCGUAUUUUACUAGACAUCUGCCAGGAGCAAGCUGUAAAGAAUUUUAUUACAAUAAUAUAAACUAUGAUAAGGGGAAAAUAUAUAUACUUUUAUGCCUUCCCUAUUUUUUUGAGUGAAAUCAUUCCUUGGGACCACGUAUUUGAUUCCAAAGAAAUGACGAAAAGAACAUGCAGCAAGGAGAAAAUUUACAUUAUUGCCCUAGACGCAGCAGCCUAAGGUUACGGAGUUGCGCCAGUACGACAGAAUCAUAAAUGUGUUCAAAGCAAAAUACCGGCACAUAGACAGAUUAAAAUUGGACAAUUUCAGCGUUUCUUUGAAAUUCACUAAUAAAACGAAAAAAUAACUAUAGAAUAUACAUUUGCAAAAUAUUUUAUUUCUGUAUAAUGUGAAAAAAAAAUAAAAUUCAAUUAUAAAAAGAAAGGUUCACACAUCCUUGCAAAAUAGACAUUCAUGCGUGGAUCUAGAGGGGGUGGGGGUCAGGGGGCCCCGGAAUAUUUGCAGUUUUUAAAUGUGUACAUGUAUAUGAAAACAGUUGGUAUGAAAAGUUCUUGGUAGAAAGCUUUACAAGGUCAACAACAACCCACCCAUCCCCCAAACAAACC